rnacentral:rRNA from 1 species
AUUGAGCGCUGGCGGCAGGCCUAACACAUGCAAGUCGAGCGGUAGAGAGGUGCUUGCACCUCUUGAGAGCGGCGGACGGGUGAGUAAUGCCUAGGAAUCUGCCUGGUAGUGGGGGAUAACGCUCGGAAACGGACGCUAAUACCGCAUACGUCCUACGGGAGAAAGCAGGGGACCUUCGGGCCUUGCGCUAUCAGAUGAGCCUAGGUCGGAUUAGCUAGUUGGUGAGGUAAUGGCUCACCAAGGCGACGAUCCGUAACUGGUCUGAGAGGAUGAUCAGUCACACUGGAACUGAGACACGGUCCAGACUCCUACGGGAGGCAGCAGUGGGGAAUAUUGGACAAUGGGCGAAAGCCUGAUCCAGCCAUGCCGCGUGUGUGAAGAAGGUCUUCGGAUUGUAAAGCACUUUAAGUUGGGAGGAAGGGUCGUUACCUAAUACGUGACGAUUUUGACGUUACCGACAGAAUAAGCACCGGCUAACUCUGUGCCAGCCGCCGCAGUAA